GGAGGGAGCGCGCCAGGCCUGGCGCGCACCCGACCCCUUGCGCGUUCCGGCUCCGCGCGCCUGCCAGGCCGGGGCCGGCGGCGGAACAGCUUGGGACCCGAAACGCCUCGGCUUUUCUGCGGACCCGCGCCCGGCCGCUGCCGCCGGACGCUUGAAAAGAGGCAGAGUCUUGCUUUGUUGUCCAGGCUGGUCUUGAACUUCUGAGCUCAAGUGAUCCUCCCGCCUUGGCCUCCCAAAGUGCUGAGACUACAGAGAGAGAAUGCUAACGAGCUGUGAAAUGACCAAAGAUCUGGCAGCAGAAGGGAAAAGAAAAAAUAAUGGGAAGAAGAGGAUUUAUCUGACUCAACUGGAGAUGGCUCCCUUCCCUUAUUUAUUGUUGCAUCCUGAAGCUUCCCCCAUGCUGGGCUCAGUGUGAACAAACAGCGCGGGAGAAUGCAACCACUGCAGAGGCAUAUGUUUGAGAUACCUGGCCACUGGAGGUCAUCUCGUCUACUAUAUUCACCGCAGAUAAAGAAUGAAAAGAGAAUACACAACCUUGUGAUUGCUAGCAGUGAAAGCUCAGAGUUAUGACAUAACAGCACCCUGUCUCAGCACUCUCCCAACUUUGUCCCCAGGCAGUGAGUGCUUCAUGGCCAGAGAGAGAUAGGACUGAACCCUCGUACCUUCAAACAUAUCUAAAUCUCUGGUGCAGUUCAGAGUGGUUGAUCAUACUGUAAAACUCAAAUGUGAAGGGAAGGCUGGAACCUACUGGAAACUGAAGAUCUAACGAAAAGAAGGAACUUUUAGGAACUAGCAGAGACUUCAAAAUGUUGAGAACUCUCUUUUUUCAUAAGAGAAGAUAAAAACUCUGAUGGUCACACUCAUAAAGACAAAAAACAAAUAAAAAACAAACAAAAACUCAGAAUCACAAGAGCAAAGAAAAUGUAGGUAAAACAAUAACAGAAGAGGUAAAGAAAUUUAUGUGAAUUGGGACACUCUGGGGCACAGAACAGAAGAGGAGAAGAAACAUGAAAGUAAUGCUCUGCACAAGGAUGUCUGACUGUCCUUGAUUCCAAGGGCAUUUAAAAUUAGCCACUGGAUGAGAACCAUGAAAUGCCAUGACUCUUACAGCUCCCAUGAAAGACAUUGGAUGGAACUUAUCCUAACUGGACCAAAUUCUAAAAAAUUUUACAUGAUAUUAUAAUGAGUUGAAAGUUGAAAAAAAAAAGCUCUUCUAGAUUACCAAGAAUAAAACACAAAUUUCUAGCUGACUGAAUUAAUUCUCAUCUCUCUAUAGAAAGAUCAUAGAAAUUUUUUUUAUCAUGCAAAGAAAUAGCUAAAAAUUUACAAAAAUAUAGACGUGCAUUAGGCAGCUCAUGAAUAAAUGCGUUUUUUCCUUUUUUCCUCCAGAAUUUUGUGAUGUUUAUGGUACUUUUCGGCUUUUAAAAUUUUGUAUUUAAUCAGGAUUUAUUACUUCAUUGUAAGUAAAUAUUAAAUUUGUACUCCAUCUUUGUUUGUAAUUUUGUAUAUUUUUCAGUAAAAAGGACUCCCCAGAUUAUGUAAGCUUUAGGCCCCACAAAAUCUAGGCCUGUUGCUGUAUCCUUUCUAGAGCAGUGUUUCUCAAACUUCAAUGUGCAUUUGAAUCUCCUGGGGCUCCUGUUAAAAUAUAGCUUCUGAGAUGAUGCAUUUCUAACAGACUCCCAGGGCUGACACUGCCCAUCUGGGGACCACACUUUGAGAAUCAAAUAUCUAGAACAAUGGUUCUUACCUGGCUGUGCAUUGGGAUCAUUUAUAGUGCUUUUGGAAAAUACAUUGUGUCCAGGUCCCACCCAGUUCUCAGUAGGCUUGGAAUGGGGUCCUACACUUUUUUUUUUUAACUCCACAGUUUGGGAAAGAAGCCUUUUCAUAUAUUGUUGGUGGGAAUACAAAUUGAUACAGCCAUUUUUGAGCUUGAUUUGGCAAUAUCUUCCUUGGAGAAAUCAAAAGCCAGUUGGCAAGCCAGUCUGGAAAAGGCAGUUUACUGAUUCCCACCCGAGGGUCACAAAGCAGGUAUAGAAGGAUGGGCUUUGGCUGAAAUAUAUGAUGGGUACAGGUAUAUUCUCUAUAAUCCAGUAUUUCCACUGCUGAAAACGUAUCCUAGUAACAUUAUACAUAUCAAGCCUACAUAUAAAGUUGGUCAAUUCCAUAUUAUUUGUAGUAGGGGAAAACUGAAAGCAGUCUACAUGCCCAUCAAUAGAUUAUUCAAAUUAUGGAACAGUUUUCCAAUGACAAAACAAUAGCUAAUCUUAGUUAAGCAAUUAUUAUGUUAUGUAAGGUAGACAUUGUUCUACCUUAUUUAUAAGUAUUAAGUUAGUUUUUAUAACUAUCAUAUUUCCAUUUUACAAAUGACAUAAUUUAUAUUAUUGACAUGGGAAGAUGUCCAAGGAUAUAAUAAGCAAAAAGCAAGUAGCAAAACAUUAUGUAUAUUAUGCAUUACCAUUAUAAUAUACUAAAAAGUAAUGCACUUGAUUCUGAUGCACACUCCCCAGUAGGUAACAACUUAUCUAGUGUAAAAAUGAAAGAACAUUCUGGGCCGGGCACGGUGGCUCAUGCCUGUAAUCCCAGCACUUUGGGAGGCCCAGGUGGGCGGAUCACAAGGUCAGGAGAUCGAGACCAUCCUGGCUAACAUGGUGAAACCCCGUCUCUACUAAAAAUACAAAAAAAAAAUUAGCUGGGCGUGGUGGCCGGCGCCUGUAGUCGCAGCUACUCGGGAGGCUGAGGCAGGAGAAUGGCGUGAACCCGGGAGGCGGAGCUUUCAGUGAGCGGAGAUAGCGCCAUUGCACUCCAGCCUGGGCGACAGAGCGAGACUCUGCCUC
ensembl:lncRNA MAP4K3-DT MAP4K3 divergent transcript